AUACGGUUGAAAUUCCGUAGCCGCCGAAAUUGUUAGCACAGGGACACAUAGAGAUAUCCGAACCCGGGCGUUGGUUGACCCGGGCGCAAGGGACCGAACAUCAGUAGGGAAGUCGGAGAUGCUCUGUGGCGAGAAAAGCUGUGUGUAUUGAUUAGGCGCCCGUACCGCAAACCGACACAGGUAGAUGAGGAGAGAAUCCUAAGGCCAACGGGAGAAGGGUUGUUAAGGAACUCGGCAAAUUGACCCCGUAACUUCGGGAUAAGGGGAGCCUCCUACGGGAGGCCGCAGUGAAUAGGCCCAAGCAACUGUUUACCAAAAACACAGGUCUCUGCUAAAUCGAAAGAUGACGUAUAGGGGCUGACGCCUGCCCGGUGCCGGAAGGUUAAGAGGAGAGCUUAGCGCAAGCGAAGGUUCGAAUUGAAGCCCCGGUAAACGGCGGCCGUAACAAUAACGGUCCUAAGGUAGCGAAAUUCCUUGUCAGGUAAGUUCUGACCCGCACGAAUGGCGUAAUGAUUUGGGCACUGUCUCAACAGCCCGCCCGGCGAAAUUGUAGUACUGGUGAAGAUGCCAGUUACCCGCAACUAGACGGAAAGACCCCAUGGAGCUUUACUGUAGCCUAAUACUGAAGAUCGGUAAUGCAUGUACAGGAUAGGUGGGAGCCAGCGAAACCCGGGCGUCAGCUCGGAUGGAGGCAACCUUGGAAUACCACCCUUGUAUUGCUGGUUUUCUAACCUGCGGCCAUGAAUCUGGUCGGGGGGCACUGUUAGGUGGGCAGUUUGACUGGGGCGGUCGCCUCCAAAAGCGUAACGGAGGCGCUCAAAGGUUGGCUCAGCACGGACGGAAAUCGUGCAUAGAGUGCAAACGCAUAAGCCAACUUGACUGCGAGACCGACGGGUCGAGCAGGUACGAAAGUAGGAGUUAGUGAUCCGGUGGUAUGUGAGUGGAAAUGCCAUCGCUCAACGGAUAAAAGCUACCCUGGGGAUAACAGGCUGAUCUCCCCCAAGCGUCCACAGCGACGGGGAGGUUUGGCACCUCGAUGUCGGCUCGUCACAUCCUGGGGCUGUAUUCGGUCCCAAGGGUUCGGCUGUUCGCCGAUUAAAGUGGCACGCGAGCUGGGUUCAGAACGUCGUGAGACAGUUCGGUCCCUAUCUGUUGCGGGCGCGGGAGAUUUGAAGGGAGCUGUCCUUAGUACGAGAGGACCGGGAUGGACAGACCUCUGGUGCACCAGUUGUCGUGCCAACGGCACGGCUGGGUAGCUACGUCUGGACGAGAUAAACGCUGAAAGCAUCUAAGUGUGAAACUCCCCCUAAGAUAAGAUCUCCCAUCCAUUAGGAGUAAGGGACGACAGAGACUAUGUCGUUGAUAGGUCGGAAGUGUAAGUGCAGUAAUGCAUUGAGCUGACCGAUACUAAUAACCCGAGGGCUUGACCG
rnacentral:rRNA from 1 species